AGCAAUACUGCUAGGGAAUGAAGGGGCUUGGUGCUGGUGUGAUGGUCAUAGCAACAUUCCUAGGGGUAGGGUGAGGGGCUGACCUCUCCGCUCUUCCCUUUGCUAGAAAUUCUAUCCACAGAUGGAGACAGGCUUGUCAGUGACCCACAUCAUCCAUCCACUUUGGCUUUCACACAUUCAUUUAAUAAUUUAUUGAAAGCCUUGGAAGUUCCAAGCAACAGAAACCCCUGAUCUGACAGAGCUUAUGUUCUAGUGAGUUUCGGGAAGAAUCUGGGUCAUCCUAGAUUUAACAUAGCUCUUUCAUGUCCCUCAUCUUUAUGACUUUAAGUUACCAUCCAAUCACCAGCCCAUCCUGUGCUGGGUAAGGAUAAACUGAGGCAAUUUAGGCCUUCUACAGACAUAGAUACAUACCAGCCACUAGUGAUUUUGUCUUAUUGUCAGGGACUAGCCAACUUAUAAAGAUUUUUCUCCCCUACUAAGGUGAUUUCAUUUUUUCUCAGAGUGGAAGGAAUAUUUCCCUGAUUAAGUAAGAAUUCAGGCCCCUCUUCCCUGUAAUUGGCUUUUGGGGCAGACUGAGAAUCACUGUACCACUUUGUACCAAGUAGGCACAAAACUCUAUGCUUUAUUUUGCCUUUUUGCAUUGGAGGGAUGGGGGCAGGGAGGGGAGGAAGGAAUCCUAACAAGUGUAGACAGUGAUGAGAUGGGGCAAACUGGUUUAACACCAUUGUGAACCCUUCACCUAAAACUCAACUCAACCCCAGGGAUUUCUGAGCUGUCCAAGAAAGUUUGAUGACUUUCCUUGCUUAAUCAGGUCCUGUUAAGCUCCCUUGAGGCUAAAUAGGGAAGAAGGGGCCAUGAAUUUUAUGUCUUUCUGUGGGAAUGUAUAUGUUCCAAAAGCAACAACCCUUUUUCCAGAUAAAUGUAUAAUCAACAAAACAGAGUUCUCUGCUUUGUAAAACUAGCACAAAAUUACCCUCCUGAGUGCCCUCUUCCAAGAAAAACACUGAGCCCUCCUUUAUAGAAAUUCUGAAAUCUUCAUGUGUUAAACUAAAUCAGAUUAGAUUUAACUGUUUCCCCAACCUCAUGUCUUUUUCAUCUGUCAUUUAUUUCCCAUAUGCAGUGACCACUGCUAGACACUCAGAGAAAGUCUGUCCCAA
rnacentral:lncRNA from 1 species